rnacentral:rRNA from 1 species
CCUACGGGAGGCAGCAGUAGGGAAUAUUGGGCAAUGGAGGCAACUCUGACCCAGCCAUGCCGCGUGCAGGAUGAAGGCCUUCUGGGUUGUAAACUGCUUUUAUCUAGGAAGAAAAAACCUUUGCGAAGGCAACUGGCGGUACUAGAUGAAUAAGCACCGGCUAACUCCGUGCCAGCAGCCGCGGUAAUACGGAGGGUGCCAGCGUUGUCCGGAUUUAUUGGGUUUAAAGGGUGCGUAGGCGGCCCGAUAAGUCAGUGGUGAAAGCCCACAGCUCAACUGUGGAACUGCCAUUGAUACUGUCGGGCUUGAGUACAGACGAGGUAGGCGGAAUUGAUAGUGUAGCGGUGAAAUGCAUAGAUACUAUCAAGAACACCGAUUGCGAAGGCAGCUUACUAGGCUGUAACUGACGCUGAGGCACGAAAGCGUGGGGAGCGAACAGGAUUAGAUACCCUGGUAGUCCACGCUGUAAACGAUGAUUACUCGAUGUUGGCGAUAAACAGUCAGCGUCUUAGCGAAAGCGUUAAGUAAUCCACCUGGGGAGUACGCCCGCAAGGGUGAAACUCAAAGGAAUUGACGGGGGCCCGCACAAGCGGUGGAGCAUGUGGUUUAAUUCGAUGAUACGCGAGGAACCUUACCUAGGCUAGAAUGCGCGUGACCGCGCCAGAGAUGGCGCUUUCCUUCGGGACACAAAGCAAGGUGCUGCAUGGCCGUCGUCAGCUCGUGCCGUGAGGUGUUGGGUUAAGUCCCGCACGAGCGCAACCCCUAUCCUUAGUUGCCAGCACAUGAUGGUGGGGACUCU